rnacentral:rRNA from 1 species
AUGAACGCUGGCGGCGUGCCUAACACAUGCAAGUCGAACGGGGAUUAGACGCUGACGAGACUUCGGUCAAAUCUUGUUUAAUCUUAGUGGCGGACGGGUGAGUAACGCGUGGGCAACCUGCCUCAUACUGGGGGAUAGCAGUUGGAAACGACUGAUAAUACCGCAUAAGCGCACGGAGUCGCAUGACUCAGUGUGAAAAACUCCGGUGGUAUGAGAUGGGCCCGCGUCAGAUUAGCUAGUUGGUGAGGUAACGGCCCACCAAGGCGACGAUCUGUAGCCGGCCUGAGAGGGCGGACGGCCACAUUGGGACUGAGACACGGCCCAAACUCCUACGGGAGGCAGCAGUGGGGGAUAUUGCACAAUGGAGGAAACUCUGAUGCAGCGACGCCGCGUGAGUGAAGAAGUAUUUCGGUAUGUAAAGCUCUAUCAGCAGGGAAGAAAGACUCGCAAGAGAGAUGACGGUACCUGACUAAGAAGCCCCGGCUAACUACGUGCCAGCAGCCGC